GAUCGUUAUCUUCGAGAACGUUUCCUAAAGAAUAAGAAUCAAACUUAUAAACAAAGAAUUUGAACAGUUUAAACAAGAAGUCAAACUUUCCACAGUGCCAACAAUCGACAAGGAUGUUAGAAAUUGAACAACCGAACUUACAAAAUUAACGGAAACAAACUUACCCGGUAAUAGCAAUAAUUAUGAAGUACGAAUCUAAGCCCACAAUAAAG
rnacentral:lncRNA from 1 species